GCACAUUAAAAACAAUAAAUACGAAUGAUAGAAAAAACAUGAUUAUCAAAGAAAGAGACUAAGAAACUCCGUACAGUCACACAACUUUCUGUCGUUCUUCAUUCGAACUCUGAUGACCAGACUUCAAAGUGAACUAACUACCAGUACUACUGCUAACUGUAUGUUCCAUAUAAGCGUUUCUCCGUUGAGCUUCUAUAAACUGUCUUGUAAAAAUGUAAGAAUGUAGCCAAACAAACAGACCCCCUAUUUUUUUUUUGUUGUAUGUUCUUGUUGUUUUCCGUUGGACGAUUCAACAAGUCUUAAGUUAUUAGGAUGGCUUUGUUUAUGAGUUUUAAAGAAGCGCGCAAAAUACGAAAAAGGUAUGGAUAGACAUCCAGAAGUUUCCGGAAAAUGUUUACAACAUAAAAUUUAAUGCAAGAAACCAGUGGUAAAGUGCAUCAAAGUGUACUCAGUGCCAGAAACACACACACAAACUUGUAAAGUUUUACUUAAUCACGUGCAACAUAUGAAACCUGCUGUAACAAAUUUCCAGAGAAACUCAAACCAACACAUGUACGCGGACACGUACGUUUAAUGAUCUUGAAAUAUGGAUCGGAAUUCAUAAAGAACAACAGCAUUACGUAAUGGUAAGACACCAAUGUAGAGUGAAACACUGGCAUGAUUUAAAAGCAAAGCAUUAAUUACUAACAUUUCUAUGUAACAGGCUGGAAUAAAAACCCCAAUAAGCUGUAA